GCUAUAGCGUGUGCUCCCCACUUUACCUUUACCUGUUACUUCUUGGUGGUACUAAGCUAGUUUUAAACAGGAAAAAAAAAGACACCCUGCAACGUUGGUCAUUGAGUCACCGUCUGGGCCAGCGAGGAUGGAGUCAACCAGCAGAGUCAAAUCAAGUCAGUGCAACAGUGGACAGUGAAUGGGGAGGUACGCCGCGCUCCUCCAGCCACGGAAGAAAAGAAACUCCUGAGGACUCAAGGCCGGCAGAUGGCACCACCAGAGCGCGCGCAGACUGUUAUGGUAGUUUGAACUUGUGCUGUGGCUGUUGUGCCGUGGUGUGGAACGGGGGUGUCUGUCUGUCUUGCUGGCUGACUGACUGACCUGGGAACUGUUGGAUGACUUGUGUGUUGGCCGUGUGCCGUGUGUUGCGAAGUGAAAGUGUAGAAGCUGUAAUAUGAAGUGAACUGCGCCCAGCCUCCAGUCCUCCCCCCAGUUCCCUCUCUUCCUCCUCUCCCGCGUCUCCUCCUCAAGCACAUAGUUACAAGGGAUAAUUAGAGCGAGUCUUCACUGGCGCUGCACGAGUCUGUAUUUGGUGGUGAACUGAACUAGUCACUCCCCGCCGUCCCUCACUGAGCUUCGUCUGUACAGCUUGUGCGGGUGAAGGAACGUGGCGAAGACUUGAAAAACGUGUAUUCCUAUUCUGUGGCUGUGAAGAUAAAAGUGCUAUUAAGGUUAAUUGAAAGUGUGAGUUUUAAGAGUUCCUGCUGACUCACCUAUAAAGAUUCUAAUUAGCGCAUUAUAUUAAGUGGUAGUUAAGUGUCUACUACCCGGCAAUAAACUCCUCAAACAACCGUUACCGAACAGUCUAUUAAUUGCAAAGGAAACCACACAAUCUUAGAACACAACAUAUACACGAAGAAUCUUACCGUAAGGAAAGUUUUAUUGCUUGAAAACUAGUCGUAUUUUAGGAAGGAAACAAACUAGUAGAGGCGAAGAACAAGUGGGCGCGGGAAAGCUACCUCGUCCCUGUGUACUGAAGGCUCCGGGGGGCGAGGAAGUCAAGAGUGCGAUUCUCAGUACCUCAUGGCGCACUUCCUGUCCUGACCUGCCCAGCGGCCGCCUGUGACACCCGAGAUGAGUGGCACCUCGUCAGCAGCAUCAGUGGGGCGGGGCGGCGGCUGGACGAUGACCAUGCUGCUGCAGCCCCACCGCUACAAGCCCGUGGCCCAGGACGACGAGUAUGACGUCUGCGAUAGCAAGG